GGGUGACAGCCCCGUACACAAAAGCGCAUGUGCUGUGAGCUCGAUGAGUAGGGCGGGACACGUGGUAUCCUGUCUGAAUAUGGGGGGACCAUCCUCCAAGGCUAAAUACUCCUGACUGACCGAUAGUGAACCAGUACCGUGAGGGAAAGGCGAAAAGAACCCCGGCGAGGGGAGUGAAAAAGAACCUGAAACCGUGUACGUACAAGCAGUGGGAGCCCCACCACCAAAGCAUUCUCUGGUGUUGAAGGCCCUGCAAAGCAGCAUCGCGGUGGCGGAGCGUCGUUUGCGACGCCCAACGCACAAAACAAGCGGUGAGUGCUUUGGGGUGGGGUGACUGCGUACCUUUUGUAUAAUGGGUCAGCGACUUAUAUUCUGUAGCAAGGUUAACCGUAUAGGGGAGCCGUAGGGAAACCGAGUCUUAACCGGGCGUUAAGUUGCAGGGUAUAGACCCGAAACCCGGUGAUCUAGCCAUGGGCAGGUUGAAGGUUGGGUAACACUAAC
rnacentral:rRNA from 1 species